AUGCUUAGUACGGCGAGUGAGCGGCAAAAGCUCAAAUUUGAAAUCUGGUACCUUCGGUGCCCGAGUUGUAAUUUGGAGAGGGCAACUUUGGGGCCGUUCCUUGUCUAUGUUCCUUGGAACAGGACGUCAUAGAGGGUGAGAAUCCCGUGUGGCGAGGAGUGCGGUUCUUUGUAAAGUGCCUUCGAAGAGUCGAGUUGUUUGGGAAUGCAGCUCUAAGUGGGUGGUAAAUUCCAUCUAAAGCUAAAUAUUGGCGAGAGACCGAUAGCGAACAAGUACAGUGAUGGAAAGAUGAAAAGAACUUUGAAAAGAGAGUGAAAAAGUACGUGAAAUUGUUGAAAGGGAAGGGCAUUUGAUCAGACAUGGUGUUUUGUGCCCUCUGCUCCUUGUGGGUAGGGGAAUCUCGCAUUUCACUGGGCCAGCAUCAGUUUUGGUGGCAGGAUAAAUCCAUAGGAAUGUAGCUUGCCUCGGUAAGUAUUAUAGCCUGUGGGAAUACUGCCAGCUGGGACUGAGGACUGCGACGUAAGUCAAGGAUGCUGGCAUAAUGGUUAUAUGCCGCCCGUCUUGAAACACGGACCAAAA
rnacentral:rRNA from 1 species